AUACCCUGUUACUUUUUCUAGUAAUCUUUGGAUUAAUAAUAAUAAUGAAAUUUAACGGAUUUGGCGGCAAGAUAGCUUUUUAGAGGAACCUGCCCUGUAAACGAUGAACCACGAAAACCUUACUCUUUUUUGAAGACAGUUUGUAUACCGCUGUUGACAGUCAAAUUUUAGAAGAUAUUUUCUUUUUGAUAAAAUCAGUAACUUCAAGUAAAGGUGCAGCUUAUAAAAGAGAAAGAGGUGGGUUACAAUUAAUAGAAUAAAACGGAAGAUAAUCAUUAAAAGAUUAUUCGAAGGUGGAUUUAACAGUAAAAUUUAAUAAAAUUUGGUGAUAGCUCUAUCUUGUG
rnacentral:rRNA from 1 species